AGAUCAAUGAUGACAGAUUUUUAAAAACUAUUUCAUAAUGUUCGGAAAUAUUUAUUAAUUACAACGAAUAUCAUAUUAUUGCCAAAAAUAAAGAUUUUUGUAUUAAAAAAACAUUUUAUUUUAUAAGUUUAAAAUUCUCGCUAAAACGUACCAAAGUGUCAUGGCAUUGCCUGUGAAGUGUGACGUCACGUUCGAGUAAUCGAGAUGUAAACACUAUACGUAGUUAUUUAGUGAGAAGAAAAAUGAAUUCCAAAACGUACAGGUGGUGUGCGGUCCCUCAAUGUACUAACACAUCCAUAAAAACACCUAACAAGUUAUUUAUUUUCGUUCCAUACAAUAAAACGACACGAUAUAAGUGGCUUAAACUUGCAAAGCGUGAUUUAAAAGGAAUAUUGCCCCGUACUCAGCUUUAUUUUUGUGAAGAUCACUUUGACUUGCCAAAUGACAUGGAAAAUUAUAUGCAAUAUAAUUUGAUGGGAUCAGUGUCGCAGAUCCGCAUGAAACCGGGGUGCAUUCCCUCAAAAUAUUACUGUCAACCCGAUAGAAGAAAACGAACAGCCGAUACAACCAAACCAGAAUAUGUUGUCAAAAAACAAAGAUAAAUGUUAAUUGAGGAAUAUGAAAAAGAACUAGUAGAAAGAACAAUUAUUGCUACAGAAAACUUGGAACUUGGAGAGUCUUAAUCCGGAAAUGCAGGUGCCUACUUAUUUUUUAUUUCAAUAAUUUUGAUUAUAAAUUGAUUCAGUUUAUUAUAAAGCCAAGCCUAAUCAAUAAUGAAAUGAUAAGUACAAAUUUUAUUUAAAACAUGCCUAUAUUUUGUAUACAAUAUAACUGAAUCUUAUUGCGCGCAAUACGAUAAGUGACUUUUUGUUUGUAAAAAAUCUGUGAAUUAUUUUUAUCGAGUUACUAAGUUUUGCAAGCAAAUAUUACACAUGAUGCACCCAGGACAGCAAAUAAAUGCAUACAAGUAAGUAUAUAUAACAAAUAAGUUUAAAAGUAAAGUCAUUCAAACAGAAAUUAAUUUAGUUAAUCAGAUGACAUCACCAUUGAGAUCUCUUCUGAAGUCUGUUUCUACAUCACCAUUUAAUAUUGAAAGUUAUAUUACUGCCAAACCAUCAAUCAAUAACCACUUUAUUACAGAAUGCUUCAAGAACAUUAUUUAGUAUUCAUGAAGAAUCUGACAGUGAUAUUUCUUAUACACCAUCUGUGAUGCAUAAAGAAUCAUCACCAUCAACAGCACCUUUGCAAAUCAAGUCUACUUUAGACUGUAGCGAGUUAAUUGACGAAGAUAAAAAACAAGAGGCAUCAAAAAUUUUGGAAUAUACAUUGCUGAAAAUAAAGAAAACUUAUUACAAAAAAAGCUACACAAUAGUAGCCUUUUUUAAGUUCUGAUAAUAACAUUUGCAGUUGUAUCUGUAUAUAAAACUCCUGGGUUGGUUAUCCAGUAUACAUAUAAUUUUUGAAAGAUUUUUCCUUCACAGGACACUUAAUUUCCACAAUGCUGUUGGCACAGAUUCCAUCAGGUGAACCCGCUAACUUGGGGUAGUUCUUGGAGAGCAUUAAACCACACUUUUUAUUUUUUUUCCUAAGAUGGCACUUAUAGUUUUCCUCACAUUAUCUUCCAUUAUUCUACCACGUUUCAUGGCUGGUGUAUCUGGGAUUUUUUCCCCCAUUAUUAUAGCAAUCAGAAUGCCUUUACUGGUUUUGCAACAACUGAAUUCAAAUGCAUGUGAAGCUGUGACCCUGUCAUAUCUCAGUUCAUGCCAAAGACUGCUUUUAUGUUGGUCUGUUGUCCCUUUCUCUAUAUUACAGAUGUCAGCAUCUGUCAAUAUUACAUUUGCUAAAAAUGUAUUGCAGGAUUUUACUUUAUAUUUAAACACUAAUUUGUGCAUGGAUAAAUUUUCUAGUUGGGUCUCUACAUAGUUUUUUGAUACUUUGAUAACAAGCAAUUAUUAAGUCUUCUUUUCUCCCCUUCCUCUAAAAACUUUUCCAAUAUUUUUGUAUUUGAUGGCAAGCUAGGCUUACCGUUGGAAAACUCCUUGGCACUUAUAUAUUUUAGGGUAGUCCCAACCCUGGAAAGCUUGGACUUCAUCCAGUAACAUUCAGUGGAUGUACAGGAUGGGUCCUCACUUCUGCGAUGGACCCACAUUAUGAAUGCAAUGGCAUAUUUGCAGCCUCUUUGAGAAGCCACACAAUCAUGACAUUCUACUGAUUUUACUGCCUCUUACUGUUCGUCAACCACCAAAGUCACUCCAUACAACUUUGCAUGGACUUUAUGUUCUGGGCAAAUGUUGGCUUUCAGUAUGCACAGAUUUUCUUCGCGUUUAAGCUGAACAUAACCUAUAACGUCAUCGCCAUAAGAUGCCCUGGCGGACCUUAAACAAAGAAAACAUAGUGCAAGUAUUUGGUACCUACAUGUUAUUUAAAAUAAAACAUUUUAAUAACAUAACCUUAAAUGCUAACCCACAAAGAAAUACGUAUAUAAGGGUUUGUACUUAUUUUUAUUAUUUAAAUUAGUUUUUUGUAAAGUUUAUUGUAUUGUACUUACAUGGAUGUUUUGACAUUUCUAAAUUCAGCGGAACAAAAAUCUUUGUUUGAAGCUAGAAACUCUCCAAGCAUCAAUAAGUCGAUUCUAGGCAAAUUUGUGUUGUUUGCUUUUGUAAAUCCUUUUUCCAUGAUUCACGUUAUUGUACUUUUAAUUUAACAACACAAACAAAACAAACUUGUCGCUGAAAACAAACUUUAAUCGUAAGUUUAAUUAUAAUAAGAGUUAACCAGUGCUGCAAACGAAACAAAUCAUAUGUUUACUCGAACGUGACGUCAUUUGCUCCAAUUGGCGUUCAGAAUGUCAUGGUGGAUUGCAUUAUUUUGUAAUUUUAUUUUAUUAAAAUAAUUAUUAAUCUCGCUCAUAAUAACAAAAUAAAUACGAGAUUUGUAAUCCCCUAUUUAGGUUUCAUUAAACAGAUACAAAACUUAA
rnacentral:lncRNA from 1 species